rnacentral:rRNA from 1 species
AUUGAACGCUGGCGGCAGGCCUAACACAUGCAAGUCGAGCGGAUGAAGGGAGCUUGCUCCUGGAUUCAGCGGCGGACGGGUGAGUAAUGCCUAGGAAUCUGCCUGGUAGUGGGGGAUAACGUCCGGAAACGGGCGCUAAUACCGCAUACGUCCUGAGGGAGAAAGUGGGGGAUCUUCGGACCUCACGCUAUCAGAUGAGCCUAGGUCGGAUUAGCUAGUUGGUGGGGUAAAGGCCUACCAAGGCGACGAUCCGUAACUGGUCUGAGAGGAUGAUCAGUCACCCGGGAACGGAGACCGCGUCCACCCCCCUAGGGGGGGAAGCAGGGGGGAAUUUUGGAAAGGGGGGGAAGACUUGAUCCCACCGUGCGGGGUGUGGAAGAAAGGUCUUGGGUUUGAAAAGCCUUUUAUGGGGGGAGAAAGGGCAGUAAGUUAAUCCCUUGUUUUUUGGACGUUCCCAACAAAAUAACCACCGGCAAACUUCGUC